UGCCGCCAAUGGGAAAGGGCUGCCUCCCUCUCGCAUGUCAGGAGCAGCAAAUCUCCGCUUGCAGCCAGCGCCAGUCACUCCAGGACGUCGCAGCCCCCCGCGGUGGAGGUGACCUCCGGCGGCUGCCCCUCGCCUGCCCGCCUCCUUCCCCCGGGAGCCACCCCAGGUCCCUUUGCCGCCGCCGCUCCGUCCUUCCGCUUGCUUCGCUCUCGCCUGCAAAGGCAGCGAGAUCGAGCCUUCUUUUAACGCUUUAAAAAGGCACCGGCGCCGGAAAGCUGUGGCGCAAAGCCGGCUGCCGUGUCGCCUAAGUCCCCAAGCGGCUCUGCUGCUCAAAGAGGAGGCUGCAGGCCCGACAGAAAGCGCUGAGAGCCCCGGUCCCAGGCAGGCGCGUGAGCAUCCCGCUCGCGGUCGUGCCCAGACGGCUGUGCGCUUCUGCUUUAUCAGCCUACUUCGAGGUCCAAUGCUUGUCCCUGGGCUCAUACUCGGACCCCAUCCACCGAGUCCAAGACUUGCUGCAGUCAAAGGGAAGAAGCCGCACAAGUAUUUUUGAUGGGAAUGCAGGAUCCGGCCCUGUUCUCCGUCACUCCCUAUAGUCUCCCCUCCCCCGCAAACUGGAUGCAAACUCUUCAUUCUUCCCUGCUACUCGUUAAGCCACAUCAGUGUAAAUGCAAAUAGUAGAUUCCAAGGAAGGGUAUCACCCGGAGCAGGAGACAGCGAACCAGAUUUCUGGCUGAAAUCAUCAUCAUCAGAAAACUCUGCAGAGGAUGACAUCGAGCAUCUGUGGGAAGCGUUUCCAGAGCUCUAGAGAAGGGCAGGGGGGUGGAGGGAAAUAAAAACGAACCGUGAGACAGGUAGAAAAAUUCCCAUUCCCAAAAUAAAGCAACACAUUCUGUACUGUUUAGAUCACCCUCUAGGAAGAUCAAGCUGGAACUGACCCACUACAGAUCAGUGAAUAAACUAAUGUACAAAUAUCAAUGAA